UACCCGCUGAAACCUUAGCAUAUCAAUAAGCGGAGGAAAAGAAACUAACAAGGAUUCCCCUAGUAACUGCGAGUGAAGCGGGAAAAGCUCAAAUUUAAAAUCUGGCAGUCUUUGGCUGUCCGAGUUGUAAUCUAGAGAAGUGUUGCCCGCGCUGGACCGUGUACAAGUCUCCUGGAAUGGAGCGUCAUAGAGGGUGAGAAUCCCGUCUCUGACACGGACUACCAGGGCUUUGUGGUAUGCUCUCAAAGAGUCGAGUUGUUUGGGAAUGCAGCUCAAAAUGGGUGGUAAAUUCCAUCUAAAGCUAAAUAUUGGCGAGAGACCGAUAGCGAACAAGUACCGUGAGGGAAAGAUGAAAAGAACUUUGGAAAGAGAGUUAAACAGUACGUGAAAUUGCUGAAAGGGAAACGCUUGAAGUCAGUCGCGUUGGCCGGGGAUCAGCCUCACUUUUCUGUGUGGUGUACUUUCUGGUUGACGGGUCAGCAUCAAUUUUGGCCACUGGACAAAGACUUGGGGAAUGUGGCAGCUUUUGCUGUGUUAUAGCCUCAUGUUGCAUACAGUGGUUGGGAUUGAGGAACUCAGCACGCCGCAAGGCCGGGUUUCGACCACGUUCGUGCUUAGGAUGCUGGCAUAAUGGCUUUAAGCGACCCGUCUUGAAACACGGACCAAGGAGUCUAACAUGCCUGCAUG
rnacentral:rRNA from 1 species